rnacentral:miRNA from 1 species
CAAAAGCUCAUUCAGGUUUUUC